rnacentral:rRNA from 1 species
AUGACGAGACCGAAGAGAGGAGGGGGCAUUGGCUUUAGAGAUAUGGCUAGUUUUAAUCAAGCCUUGCUGGCUAGGCAAGGGUGGAGAUUGCUACAGAACCCGGACAGUCUUUGUGCAAGAGUGCUCAAAUCCAAGUACUAUCCAAAUGGCGAGUUGUUGGACACGGUCUUUGCCUCAGAUGCAUCAUAAUCAUGGAAAGGCAUUGAGUUUGGGCUUGAACUCCUUAAGAAGGGACUUAUCUGGCGCGUUGGGAACGGGAAAAAUAUCCAAAUCACAAGAGAUCAAUGGAUUCUGAGAGGAGAGGGCCUUAAAGUGGCUAAACCCUCAGGGAGGACGAGGAUCAGAUGGGUGAACCAACUCAUAGACCCCACCAGUAGGAGCUGGAACCAAGAGCUUGUUCACAGGAUCUUUAGCCCUUUCGAUGCAACGGAAAUCCUUAAGAUCAGGAUUCCGCAAAGAGAAGUGGAAGACUUUGUUGCAUGGCAUUAUGAAAAAAUGGGUGUUUUCACGGUCAGGAGCGCGUAG